UAUGGCGUUAGGGUUAAAAUCACUGUCCAAAACAUUUGUAGGAACUCUUUUCCAACUGUUACGGCUGUGUGUUUGUUUUGCAUGUGUUUUCCUCUUUUGUCUCUCCAUAGCUGCCCAGGUGAAAUCACUUGAGUGACAAUCAGACUCACCUGGUGCUGGGAGUCUAAAAGCCCAGAGCUGCCUGCAAUCUGGAGAGGCAUUUGGUGGGGAACUGCUGCCCUGCUGCCUCUCAUUUGUGUUGUGGGUGCUUUGUGUUUAGUUUGCAAUUUUGUUGUUUUUUCACAAUAAAUCAGGUGUUAAACUUUUGAAGGUGUUUUGGUUAAUUUGAUGGGUAAAAAGUUGAGGAUUGUUGUUAGCCCCAUAGGGCCGCCUAAGGGUGGGGUGUAACACCAACCUUUUGGAGUUGGUUACACCAACAAAAAUGUAAAAUGAAAAAAAAAUAUUAGGGGUGUUCGGGCUUCCUGAAGGUAAUACCCGGGUAUUAGGUUAUGGGGCUAUGGUAAGGUUUAAGGUUUUUGGCAUUAGGGUUAAAAUCACUGUCCAAAACCUUUGUAGGAACUCUUUUCCAACCUUUUGGAGUUGGUUACACCAACAAAAAUGUAAAAUGAAAAAAAAAAUAUUUGGGGUGUUCGGGCCUUCCUGAAGGUAAUACCCGGGUAUUAGGUUAUGGGGCUAUGGUAAGGUUUAAGCUUAAUGGCAUUAGGUUUAAAAUCACUGUCCAAAACCUUUGUAGGAACUCUUUUCCAACCUUUUGGAGUUACUUAGACCAAAAAAAAAAAAUGAAAAAUGAAAAAAAAAUAUUUGGGGUGUUCAGGCUUCCUAAAAGUAAUACCCGGGUAUUAGGUUAUGGGGCUAUGGUAAGGUUUAAAGUUUUUGGCAUUAGGUUUAAAAUCACUGUCCAAAACCUUUGUAGGAACUCUUUCCCAACCUUUUGGAGUUAGUUAGACCAAAAAAAAAUGAAAAAUGAAAAAAAAAUGUUUGGGGUUUUCGGGCUUCCUGAAUGUAAUACCCGGGUAUUAGAUUUUAAGGCUAGGGUUAGGUUUAAGUUUUUUGGCGUUAGGGUUAAAAUCACUGUCCAAAACCUUUGUAGGAACUCUUUUCCAACCUUUUGGAGUUACUUAGACCAAAAAAAUAUGAAAAAAGAAAAAAAUAUUUGGGGUGUUCAGGCUUCCUCAAAGUAAUACCCGGGUAUUAGGUUAUGGGGCUAUGGUAAGGUUUAAGGUUUAUGGCAUUAGGGUUAAAAUCACUGUCCAAAACCUUUGUAGGAACUCUUUUCGAACCUUUUGGAGUUAGUUAGACCAAAAAAAAAAAGAAAAAUGAAAAAAAAAUAUUUGGGGUGUUCAGGCUUCCUAAAAGUAAUACCCGGGUAUUAGGUUAUGGGGCUAUGGUAAGGUUUAAGGUUUUUGGCAUUAGGGUUAAAAUCACUGUCCAAAACCUUUGUAAGAACUCUUUUCCAACCUUUUGGAGUUGGCUACACCAACAAAAAUGUAAAAUGAAAAAAAAAAUAUAUUGGGUGUUCGGGCUUCCUAAAAGUAAUACCCGGGUAUUAGGUUAUGGGGCUAUGGUAAGGUUUAAGGUUUUUGGCGUUAGGGUUAAAAUCACUGUCCAAAACCUUUGUAGGAACUCUUUUCCAACCUUUUGGAGUUACUUAUACCAAAAAAAUAUGAAAAAAGAAAAAAAUAUAUUUGGGGUGUUCGGGCUUCCUGUGGUAAUACCCGGGUAUUAGAUUUAAAGGCUAGGGUAAGGUUUAAGCUUAAUGGCGUUAGGGUUAAAAUCACUGUCCAAAACCUUUGUAGGAACUCUUUUCCAACCUUUUGGAGUUACUUAGACCAAAAAAAAAAAGAAAAAUGAAAAAAAAAUAUUUGGGGUGUUCAGGCUUCCUAAAAGUAAUACCCGGGUAUUAGGUUAUGGGGCUAUGGUAAGGUUUAAGGUUUUUGGCGUUAGGGUUAAAAUCACUGUCCAAAACCUUUGUAGGAACUCUUUCCCAACCUUUUGGAGUUAGUUAGACCAAAAAAAAAAUGAAAAAUGAAAAAAAAAUGUUUGGGGUUUUUGUGCUUCCUGAAUGUAAUACCCAGGUAUUAGGUUAUGGGGCUAGGGUAAGGUUUAAGUUUUAUGGCGUUAGGGUUAAAAUCACUGUCCAAAACCUUUGUAGGAACUCUUUUCGAACCUUCUGGAGUUAGUUAGACCAAAAAAAAAAAGAAAAAUGAAAAAAAAAUAUUUGGGGUGUUCAGGCUUCCUAAAAGUAAUACCGCGGUAUUAGGUUAUGGGGCUAUGGUAAGGUUUAACGUUUUUGGCGUUAGGGUUAAAAUCACUGUCCAAAACCUUUGUAGGAACUCUUUUCCAACCUUUUGGAGUUACUUAGACCAAAAAAAUAUUAAAAGGAAAAAAAAAUAUUUGGGGUUUUCGGGCGUCCUGUGGUAAUACCCGGGUAUUAGAUUUAAAGGCCAGGGUAAGGUUUAAGCUUAAUGGCGUUAGGGUUAAAAUCACUGUCCAAAACCUUUGUAGGAACUCUUUUCCAACCUUUUGGAGUUACUUAGACCAAAAAAAAAACGAAAAAUGAAAAAAAAUAUUUGGGGUGUUCAGGCUUCCUCAAAGUAAUACCCGGGUAUUAGGUUAUGGGGCUAUGGUAAGGUUUAAGGUUUAUGGCAUUAGGGUUAAAAUCACUGUCCAAAACCUUUGUAGGAACUCUUUCCCAACCUUUUGGAGUUAGUUAGACCAAAAAAAAAAGAAAAAUGAAAAAAAAAUAUUUGGGGUGUUCAGGCUUCCUAAAAGUAAUACCCGGGUAUUAGGUUAUGGGGCUAUGGUAAGGUUUAAGGUUUUUGGCAUUAGGGUUAAAAUCACUGUCCAAAACCUUUGUAAGAACUCUUUUCCAACCUUUUGGAGUUGGCUACACCAACAAAAAUGUAAAAUGAAAAAAAAAAUAUAUGGGGUGUUCGGGCUUCCUAAAAGUAAUACCCGGGUAUUAGGUUAUGGGGCUAUGGUAAGGUUUAAGGUUUUUGGCGUUAGGGUUAAAAUCACUGUCCAAAACCUUUGUAGGAACUCUUUUCCAACCUUUUGGAGUUACUUAGACCAAAAAAAUAUGAAAAAAGAAAAAAAAAUAUUUGGGGUGUUCGGGCUUCCUGUGGUAAUACCCGGGUAUUAGAUUUAAAGGCUAGGGUAAGGUUUAAGCUUAAUGGCGUUAGGGUUAAAAUCACUGUCCAAAACCUUUGUAGGAACUCUUUUCCAACCUUUUGGAGUUACUUAGACCAAAAAAAAAAACGAAAAAUGAAAAAAAAUAUUUGGGGUGUUCAGGCUUCCUAAAAGUAAUACCCGGGUAUUAGGUUAUGGGGCUAUGGUAAGGUUUAAGGUUUAUGGCAUUAGGGUUAAAAUCACUGUCCAAAACCUUUGUAGGAACUCUUUUCCAACCUUUUGGAGUUACUUAGACCAAAAAAAUAUUAAAAAAGGAAAAAAAAAUAUUUGGGGUUUUCGGGCUUCCUGUGGUAAUACCCGGGUAUUAGAUUUAAAGGCCAGGGUAAGGUUUAAGCUUAAUGGCGUUAGGGUUAAAAUCACUGUCCAAAACCUUUGUAGGAACUCUUUUAGAACCUUUUGGAGUUAGUUAGACCAAAAAAAAAACGAAAAAUGAAAAAAAAAUAUUUGGGGUGUUCAGGCUUCCUAAAAGUAAUACCCGGGUAUUAGGUUAUGGGGCUAUGGUAAGGUUUAAGGUUUUUGGCGUUAGGGUUAAAAUCACUGUCCAAAACCUUUGUAAGAACUCUUUUCCAACCUUUUGGAGUUGGUUACAUCAACAAAAAUGUAAAAUGAAAAAAAAUAUAUAUGGGGUGUUCGGGCUUCCUAAAAGUAAUACCCGGGUAUUAGGUUAUGGGGCUAUGGUAAGGUUUAAUGUUUUUGGCAUUAGGGUUAAAAUCACUGUCCAAAACCUUUGUAGGAACUCUUUUCCAACCUUUUGGAGUUGGUUACACCAACAAAAAUGUAAAAUGAAAAAAAAAAUAUUUGGGGUGUUCGGGCUUCCUGAAGGUAAUACCCGGGUAUUAGGUUAUGGGGCUAUGGUAAGGUUUAAGUUUUAUGGCGUUAGGGUUAAAAUCACUGUCCAAAACCUUUGUAGGAACUCUUUUCCAAUUUUUUGGAGCUAGUUAGACCAAAAAAAAAAGAAAAAUGAAAAAAAAAUGUUUGGGGUUUUCGGGCUUCCUGAAUGUAAUACCCGGGUAUUAGAUUUUAAGGCUAGGGUAAGGUUUAAGUUUUAUGGCGUUAGGGUUAAAAUCACUGUCCAAAACCUUUGUAGGAACUCUUUUCCAAUUUUUUGGAGCUAGUUAGACCAAAAAAAAAAGAAAAAUGAAAAAAAAAUAUAUAUGGGGUGUUCGGGCUUCCUAAAAGUAAUACCCGGGUAUUAGAUUUUAAGGCUAGGGUAAGGUUUAAGUUUUAUGGCGUUAGGGUUAAAAUCACUGUCCAAAACAUUUGUAGGAACUCUUUUCCAACUGUUACGGCUGUGUGUUUGUUUUGCAUGUGUUUUCCUCUUUUGUCUCUCCAUAGCUGCCCAGGUGAAAUCACUUGAGUGACAAUCAGACUCACCUGGUGCUGGGAGUCUAAAAGCCCAGAGCUGCCUGCAGUCUGGAGAGGCAUUUGGUGGGGAACUGCUGCCCUGCUGCCUCUCAUUUGUGUUGUGGGUGCUUUGUGUUUAGUUUGCAAUUUUGUUGUUUUUUCACAAUAAAUCAGGUGUUAAACUUUUGAAGGUGUUUUGGUUAAUUUGAUGGGUAAAAAGUUGAGGAUUGUUGUUAGCCCCAUAGGGCCGCCUAAGGGUGGGGUGUAACACCAACCUUUUGGAGUUGGUUACACCAACAAAAAUGUAAAAUGAAAAAAAAAUAUUAGGGGUGUUCGGGCUUCCUGAAGGUAAUACCCGGGUAUUAGGUUAUGGGGCUAUGGUAAGGUUUAAUGUUUUUGGCAUUAGGGUUAAAAUCACUGUCCAAAACCUUUGUAGGAACUCUUUUCCAACCUUUUGGAGUUGGUUACACCAACAAAAAUGUAAAAUGAAAAAAAAAAUAUUUGGGGUGUUCGGGCUUCCUGAAGGUAAUACCCGGGUAUUAGGUUAUGGGGCUAUGGUAAGGUUUAAGCUUAAUGGCAUUAGGUUUAAAAUCACUGUCCAAAACCUUUGUAGGAACUCUUUUCCAACCUUUUGGAGUUAGUUAGACCAAAAAAAAAAAUGAAAAAUGAAAAAAAAAAUAUUUGGGGUGUUCAGGCUUCCUAAAAGUAAUACCCGGGUAUUAGGUUAUGGGGCUAUGGUAAGGUUUAAGGUUUUUGGCAUUAGGUUUAAAAUCACUGUCCAAAACCUUUGUAGGAACUCUUUCCCAACCUUUUGGAGUUAGUUAGACCAAAAAAAAAUGAAAAAUGAAAAAAAAAUGUUUGGGGUUUUCGGGCUUCCUGAAUGUAAUACCCGGGUAUUAGAUUUUAAGGCUAGGGUUAGGUUUAAGUUUUUUGGCGUUAGGGUUAAAAUCACUGUCCAAAACCUUUGUAGGAACUCUUUUCCAACCUUUUGGAGUUACUUAGACCAAAAAAAUAUGAAAAAAGAAAAAAAAUAUUUGGGGUGUUCAGGCUUCCUCAAAGUAAUACCCCAGUAUUAGGUUAUGGGGCUAUGGUAAGGUUUAAGGUUUAUGGCAUUAGGGUUAAAAUCACUGUCCAAAACCUUUGUAGGAACUCUUUUCGAACCUUUUGGAGUUAGUUAGACCAAAAAAAAAAAAGAAAAAUGAAAAAAAAAUAUUUGGGGUGUUCAGGCUUCCUAAAAGUAAUACCCGGGUAUUAGGUUAUGGGGCUAUGGUAAGGUUUAAGGUUUUUGGCAUUAGGGUUAAAAUCACUGUCCAAAACCUUUGUAAGAACUCUUUUCCAACCUUUUGGAGUUGGCUACACCAACAAAAAUGUAAAAUGAAAAAAAAUAUAUAUUGGGUGUUCGGGCUUCCUAAAAGUAAUACCCGGGUAUUAGGUUAUGGGGCUAUGGUAAGGUUUAAGGUUUUUGGCGUUAGGGUUAAAAUCACUGUCCAAAACCUUUGUAGGAACUCUUUUCCAACCUUUUGGAGUUACUUAUACCAAAAAAAUAUGAAAAAAGAAAAAAAUAUAUUUGGGGUGUUCGGGCUUCCUGUGGUAAUACCCGGGUAUUAGAUUUAAAGGCUAGGGUAAGGUUUAAGUUUUUUGGCGUUAGGGUUAAAAUCACUGUCCAAAACCUUUGUAGGAACUCUUUUCCAACCUUUUGGAGUUACUUAGACCAAAAAAAAAAAAGAAAAAUGAAAAAAAAAUAUUUGGGGUGUUCAGGCUUCCUAAAAGUAAUACCCGGGUAUUAGGUUAUGGGGCUAUGGUAAGGUUUAAGGUUUUUGGCGUUAGGGUUAAAAUCACUGUCCAAAACCUUUGUAGGAACUCUUUCCCAACCUUUUGGAGUUAGUUAGACCAAAAAAAAAAUGAAAAAUGAAAAAAAAAUGUUUGGGGUUUUUGUGCUUCCUGAAUGUAAUACCCAGGUAUUAGGUUAUGGGGCUAGGGUAAGGUUUAAGUUUUAUGGCGUUAGGGUUAAAAUCACUGUCCAAAACCUUUGUAGGAACUCUUUUCGAACCUUCUGGAGUUAGUUAGACCAAAAAAAAAAAGAAAAAUGAAAAAAAAAUAUUUGGGGUGUUCAGGCUUCCUAAAAGUAAUACCCCGGUAUUAGGUUAUGGGGCUAUGGUAAGGUUUAACGUUUUUGGCGUUAGGGUUAAAAUCACUGUCCAAAACCUUUGUAGGAACUCUUUUCCAACCUUUUGGAGUUACUUAGACCAAAAAAAUAUUAAAAAAGGAAAAAAAAAUAUUUGGGGUUUUCGGGCUUCCUGUGGUAAUACCCGGGUAUUAGAUUUAAAGGCCAGGGUAAGGUUUAAGCUUAAUGGCGUUAGGGUUAAAAUCACUGUCCAAAACCUUUGUAGGAACUCUUUUCCAACCUUUUGGAGUUACUUAGACCAAAAAAAAAACGAAAAAUGAAAAAAAAUAUUUGGGGUGUUCAGGCUUCCUCAAAGUAAUACCCGGGUAUUAGGUUAUGGGGCUAUGGUAAGGUUUAAGGUUUAUGGCAUUAGGGUUAAAAUCACUGUCCAAAACCUUUGUAGGAACUCUUUCCCAACCUUUUGGAGUUAGUUAGACCAAAAAAAAAAGAAAAAUGAAAAAAAAAUAUUUGGGGUGUUCAGGCUUCCUAAAAGUAAUACCCGGGUAUUAGGUUAUGGGGCUAUGGUAAGGUUUAAGGUUUUUGGCAUUAGGGUUAAAAUCACUGUCCAAAACCUUUGUAAGAACUCUUUUCCAACCUUUUGGAGUUACUUAGACCAAAAAAAUGUAAAAUGAAAAAAAAAAUAUAUGGGGUGUUCGGGCUUCCUAAAAGUAAUACCCGGGUAUUAGGUUAUGGGGCUAUGGUAAGGUUUAAGGUUUUUGGCGUUAGGGUUAAAAUCACUGUCCAAAACCUUUGUAGGAACUCUUUUCCAACCUUUUGGAGUUACUUAGACCAAAAAAAUAUGAAAAAAGAAAAAAAAAUAUUUGGGGUGUUCGGGCUUCCUGUGGUAAUACCCGGGUAUUAGAUUUAAAGGCUAGGGUAAGGUUUAAGCUUAAUGGCGUUAGGGUUAAAAUCACUGUCCAAAACCUUUGUAGGAACUCUUUUCCAACCUUUUGGAGUUACUUAGACCAAAAAAAAAAAACGAAAAAUGAAAAAAAAAUAUUUGGGGUGUUCAGGCUUCCUAAAAGUAAUACCCGGGUAUUAGGUUAUGGGGCUAUGGUAAGGUUUAAGGUUUUUGGCAUUAGGGUUAAAAUCACUGUCCAAAACCUUUGUAAGAACUCUUUUCCAACCUUUUGGAGUUGGCUACACCAACAAAAAUGUAAAAUGAAAAAAAAAAUAUAUGGGGUGUUCGGGCUUCCUAAAAGUAAUACCCGGGUAUUAGGUUAUGGGGCUAUGGUAAGGUUUAAGGUUUUUGGCGUUAGGGUUAAAAUCACUGUCCAAAACCUUUGUAGGAACUCUUUUCCAACCUUUUGGAGUUACUUAGACCAAAAAAAUAUGAAAAAAGAAAAAAAAAUAUUUGGGGUGUUCGGGCUUCCUGUGGUAAUACCCGGGUAUUAGAUUUAAAGGCUAGGGUAAGGUUUAAGCUUAAUGGCGUUAGGGUUAAAAUCACUGUCCAAAACCUUUGUAGGAACUCUUUUCCAACCUUUUGGAGUUAGUUAGACCAAAAAAAAAAACGAAAAAUGAAAAAAAAAUAUUUGGGGUGUUCAGGCUUCCUAAAAGUAAUACCCGGGUAUUAGGUUAUGGGGCUAUGGUAAGGUUUAAGGUUUAUGGCAUUAGGGUUAAAAUCACUGUCCAAAACCUUUGUAGGAACUCUUUCCCAACCUUUUGGAGUUAGUUAGACCAAAAAAAAAUGAAAAAUGAAAAAAAAAUAUUUGGGGUUUUUGUGCUUCCUGAAUGUAAUACCCAGGUAUUAGGUUAUGGGGCUAGGGUAAGGUUUAAGUUUUAUGGCGUUAGGGUUAAAAUCACUGUCCAAAACCUUUGUAGGAACUCUUUUCGAACCUUUUGGAGUUAGUUAGACCAAAAAAAAAAAAGAAAAAUGAAAAAAAAAAUAUUUGGGGUGUUCAGGCUUCCUAAAAGUAAUACCCCGGUAUUAGGUUAUGGGGCUAUGGUAAGGUUUAAGGUUUUUGGCGUUAGGGUUAAAAUCACUGUCCAAAACCUUUGUAGGAACUCUUUUCCAACCUUUUGGAGUUACUUAGACCAAAAAAAUAUUAAAAAAGGAAAAAAAAUAUUUGGGGUUUUCGGGCUUCCUGUGGUAAUACCCGGGUAUUAGAUUUAAAGGCCAGGGUAAGGUUUAAGCUUAAUGGCGUUAGGGUUAAAAUCACUGUCCAAAACCUUUGUAGGAACUCUUUUAGAACCUUUUGGAGUUAGUUAGACCAAAAAAAAAACGAAAAAUGAAAAAAAAAUAUUUGGGGUGUUCAGGCUUCCUAAAAGUAAUACCCGGGUAUUAGGUUAUGGGGCUAUGGUAAGGUUUAAGGUUUUUGGCGUUAGGGUUAAAAUCACUGUCCAAAACCUUUGUAGGAACUCUUUUCCAACCUUUUGGAGUUGGUUACACCAACAAAAAUGUAAAAUGAAAAAAAAUAUAUAUGGGGUGUUCGGGCUUCCUAAAAGUAAUACCCGGGUAUUAGGUUAUGGGGCUAUGGUAAGGUUUAAAGUUUUUGGCAUUAGGUUUAAAAUCACUGUCCAAAACCUUUGUAGGAACUCUUUUCCAACCUUUUGGAGUUAGUUAGACCAAAAAAAAAUGAAAAAUGAAAAAAAAAUGUUUGGGGUUUUCGGGCUUCCUGAAUGUAAUACCCGGGUAUUAGAUUUUAAGGCUAGGGUAAGGUUUAAGUUUUAUGGCGUUAGGGUUAAAAUCACUGUCCAAAACCUUUGUAGGAACUCUUUUCCAACCUUUUGGAGUUAGUUAGACCAAAAAAAAAAAGAAAAAUGAAAAAAAUAUAUAUAUGGGGUGUUCGGGCUUCCUAAAAGUAAUACCCGGGUAUUAGAUUUUAAGGCUAGGGUAAGGUUUAAGUUUUAUGGCGUUAGGGUUAAAAUCACUGUCCAAAACAUUUGUAGGAACUCUUUUCCAACUGUUACGGCUGUGUGUUUGUUUGCAUGUGUUUUCCUCUUUUGUCUCUCCAUAGCUGCCCAGGUGAAAUCACUUGAGUGACAAUCAGACUCACCUGGUGCUGGGAGUCUAAAAGCCCAGAGCUGCCUGCAGUCUGGAGAGGCAUUUGGUGGGGAACUGCUGCCCUGCUGCCUCUCAUUUGUGUUGUGGGUGCUUUGUGUUUAGUUUGCAAUUUUGUUGUUUUUUCACAAUAAAUCACGUGUUAAACUUUUGAAGGUGUUUUGGUUAAUUUGAUGGGUAAAAAGUUGAGGAUUGUUGUUAGCCCCAUAGGGCCGCCUAAGGGUGGGGUGUAACACCAACCUUUUGGAGUUGGUUACACCAACAAAAAUGUAAAAUGAAAAAAAAAAUAUUAGGGGUGUUCGGGCUUCCUGAAGGUAAUACCCGGGUAUUAGGUUAUGGGGCUAUGGUAAGGUUUAAUGUUUUUGGCAUUAGGGUUAAAAUCACUGUCCAAAACCUUUGUAGGAACUCUUUUCCAACCUUUUGGAGUUGGUUACACCAACAAAAAUGUAAAAUGAAAAAAAAAAUAUUUGGGGUGUUCGGGCUUCCUGAAGGUAACACCCGGGUAUUAGGUUAUGGGGCUAUGGUAAGGUUUAAGCUUAAUGGCAUUAGGUUUAAAAUCACUGUCCAAAACCUUUGUAGGAACUCUUUUCCAACCUUUUGGAGUUAGUUAGACCAAAAAAAAAAAAUGAAAAAUGAAAAAAAAAUAUUUGGGGUGUUCAGGCUUCCUAAAAGUAAUACCCGGGUAUUAGGUUAUGGGGCUAUGGUAAGGUUUAAAGUUUUUGGCAUUAGGUUUAAAAUCACUGUCCAAAACCUUUGUAGGAACUCUUUCCCAACCUUUUGGAGUUAGUUAGACCAAAAAAAAAUGAAAAAUGAAAAAAAAAUGUUUGGGGUUUUCGGGCUUCCUGAAUGUAAUACCCGGGUAUUAGAUUUUAAGGCUAGGGUUAGGUUUAAGUUUUUUGGCGUUAGGGUUAAAAUCACUGUCCAAAACCUUUGUAGGAACUCUUUUCCAACCUUUUGGAGUUACUUAGACCAAAAAAAUAUGAAAAAAGAAAAAAAAUAUUUGGGGUGUUCAGGCUUCCUCAAAGUAAUACCCGGGUAUUAGGUUAUGGGGCUAUGGUAAGGUUUAAGGUUUAUGGCAUUAGGGUUAAAAUCACUGUCCAAAACCUUUGUAGGAACUCUUUUCGAACCUUUUGGAGUUAGUUAGACCAAAAAAAAAAAGAAAAAUGAAAAAAAAAUAUUUGGGGUGUUCAGGCUUCCUAAAAGUAAUACCCGGGUAUUAGGUUAUGGGGCUAUGGUAAGGUUUAAGGUUUUUGGCAUUAGGGUUAAAAUCACUGUCCAAAACCUUUGUAGGAACUCUUUUCCAACCUUUUGGAGUUGGCUACACCAACAAAAAUGUAAAAUGAAAAAAAAUAUAUAUUGGGUGUUCGGGCUUCCUAAAAGUAAUACUAAUAUUAGGUUAUGGGGCUAUGGUAAGGUUUAAGGUUUUCGGCGUUAGGGUUAAAAUCACUGUCCAAAACCUUUGUAGGAACUCUUUUCCAACCUUUUGGAGUUACUUAUACCAAAAAAAUAUGAAAAAAGAAAUAAAUAUAUUUGGGGUGUUCGGGCUUCCUGUGGUAAUACCCGGGUAUUAGAUUUAAAGGCUAGGGUAAGGUUUAAGCUUAAUGGCGUUAGGGUUAAAAUCACUGUCCAAAACCUUUGUAGGAACUCUUUUCCAACCUUUUGGAGUUACUUAGACCAAAAAAAAAAAAGAAAAAUGAAAAAAAAAUAUUUGGGGUGUUCAGGCUUCCUAAAAGUAAUACCCGGGUAUUAGGUUAUGGGGCUAUGGUAAGGUUUAAGGUUUUUGGCGUUAGGGUUAAAAUCACUGUCCAAAACCUUUGUAGGAACUCUUUCCCAACCUUUUGGAGUUAGUUAGACCAAAAAAAAAAUGAAAAAUGAAAAAAAAAUGUUUGGGGUUUUUGUGCUUCCUGAAUGUAAUACCCAGGUAUUAGGUUAUGGGGCUAGGGUAAGGUUUAAGUUUUAUGGCGUUAGGGUUAAAAUCACUGUCCAAAACCUUUGUAGGAACUCUUUUCGAACCUUCUGGAGUUAGUUAGACCAAAAAAAAAAAGAAAAAUGAAAAAAAAAUAUUUGGGGUGUUCAGGCUUCCUAAAAGUAAUACCCCGGUAUUAGGUUAUGGGGCUAUGGUAAGGUUUAACGUUUUUGGCGUUAGGGUUAAAAUCACUGUCCAAAACCUUUGUAGGAACUCUUUUCCAACCUUUUGGAGUUAGUUAGACCAAAAAAUAUUAAAAGGAAAAAAAAAUAUUUGGGGUUUUCGGGCGUCCUGUGGUAAUACCCGGGUAUUAGAUUUAAAGGCCAGGGUAAGGUUUAAGCUUAAUGGCGUUAGGGUUAAAAUCACUGUCCAAAACCUUUGUAGGAACUCUUUUCCAACCUUUUGGAGUUACUUAGACCAAAAAAAAAACGAAAAAUGAAAAAAAAUAUUUGGGGUGUUCAGGCUUCCUCAGAGUAAUACCCGGGUAUUAGGUUAUGGGGCUAUGGUAAGGUUUAAGGUUUUUGGCAUCAGGGUUAAAAUCACUGUCCAAAACCUUUGUAAGAACUCUUUCCCAACCUUUUGGAGUUGGCUACACCAACAAAAAUGUAAAAUGAAAAAAAAAAUAUAUGGGGUGUUCGGGCUUCCUAAAAGUAAUACCCGGGUAUUAGGUUAUGGGGCUAUGGUAAGGUUUAAGGUUUUUGGCGUUAGGGUUAAAAUCACUGUCCAAAACCUUUGUAGGAACUCUUUUCCAACCUUUUGGAGUUACUUAGACCAAAAAAAUAUGAAAAAAGAAAAAAAAAUAUUUGGGGUGUUCGGGCUUCCUGUGGUAAUACCCGGGUAUUAGAUUUAAAGGCUAGGGUAAGGUUUAAGCUUAAUGGCGUUAGGGUUAAAAUCACUGUCCAAAACCUUUGUAGGAACUCUUUUCCAACCUUUUGGAGUUACUUAGACCAAAAAAAAAACGAAAAAUGAAAAAAAAAUAUUUGGGGUGUUCAGGCUUCCUAAAAGUAAUACCCGGGUAUUAGGUUAUGGGGCUAUGGUAAGGUUUAAGGUUUAUGGCAUUAGGGUUAAAAUCACUGUCCAAAACCUUUGUAGGAACUCUUUUCCAACCUUUUGGAGUUAGUUAGACCAAAAAAAAAUGAAAAAUGAAAAAAAAAUGUUUGGGGUUUUUGUGCUUCCUGAAUGUAAUACCCAGGUAUUAGGUUAUGGGGCUAGGGUAAGGUUUAAGUUUUAUGGCGUUAGGGUUAAAAUCACUGUCCAAAACCUUUGUAGGAACUCUUUUCCAACCUUUUGGAGUUAGUUAGACCAAAAAAAAAAAGAAAAAUGAAAAAAAAAUAUUUGGGGUGUUCAGGCUUCCUAAAAGUAAUACCCCGGUAUUAGGUUAUGGGGCUAUGGUAAGGUUUAAGGUUUUUGGCGUUAGGGUUAAAAUCACUGUCCAAAACCUUUGUAGGAACUCUUUUCCAACCUUUUGGAGUUACUUAGACCAAAAAAAUAUUAAAAAAGGAAAAAAAAAUAUUUGGGGUUUUCGGGCUUCCUGUGGUAAUACCCGGGUAUUAGAUUUAAAGGCCAGGGUAAGGUUUAAGCUUAAUGGCGUUAGGGUUAAAAUCACUGUCCAAAACCUUUGUAGGAACUCUUUUAGAACCUUUUGGAGUUAGUUAGACCAAAAAAAAAACGAAAAAUGAAAAAAAAAUAUUUGGGGUGUUCAGGCUUCCUAAAAGUAAUACCCGGGUAUUAGGUUAUGGGGCUAUGGUAAGGUUUAAGGUUUUUGGCGUUAGGGUUAAAAUCACUGUCCAAAACCUUUGUAGGAACUCUUUUCCAACCUUUUGGAGUUGGUUACACCAACAAAAAUGUAAAAUGAAAAAAAAAUAUAUUGGGGUGUUCGGGCUUCCUAAAAGUAAUACCCGGGUAUUAGGUUAUGGGGCUAUGGUAAGGUUUAAUGUUUUUGGCAUUAGGGUUAAAAUCACUGUCCAAAACCUUUGUAGGAACUCUUUUCCAACCUUUUGGAGUUGGUUACACCAACAAAAAUGUAAAAUGAAAAAAAAAAUAUUUGGGGUGUUCGGGCUUCCUGAAGGUAAUACCCGGGUAUUAGGUUAUGGGGCUAUGGUAAGGUUUAAGUUUUAUGGCGUUAGGGUUAAAAUCACUGUCCAAAACCUUUGUAGGAACUCUUUUCCAACCUUUUGGAGUUAGUUAGACCAAAAAAAAAAGAAAAAUGAAAAAAAAAUGUUUGGGGUUUUCGGGCUUCCUGAAUGUAAUACCCGGGUAUUAGAUUUUAAGGCUAGGGUAAGGUUUAAGUUUUAUGGCGUUAGGGUUAAAAUCACUGUCCAAAACCUUUGUAGGAACUCUUUUCCAAUUUUUUGGAGCUAGUUAGACCAAAAAAAAAAAGAAAAAUGAAAAAAAAAUAUAUAUGGGGUGUUCGGGCUUCCUAAAAGUAAUACCCGGGUAUUAGAUUUUAAGGCUAGGGUAAGGUUUAAGUUUUAUGGCGUUAGGGUUAAAAUCACUGUCCAAAACAUUUGUAGGAACUCUUUUCCAACUGUUACGGCUGUGUGUUUGUUUUGCAUGUGUUUUCCUCUUUUGUCUCUCCAUAGCUGCCCAGGUGAAAUCACUUGAGUGACAAUCAGACUCACCUGGUGCUGGGAGUCUAAAAGCCCAGAGCUGCCUGCAGUCUGGAGAGGCAUUUGGUGGGGAACUGCUGCCCUGCUGCCUCUCAUUUGUGUUGUGGGUGCUUUGUGUUUAGUUUGCAAUUUUGUUGUUUUUUCACAAUAAAUCACGUGUUAAACUUUUGAAGGUGUUUUGGUUAAUUUGAUGGGUAAAAAGUUGAGGAUUGUUGUUAGCCCCAUAGGGCCGCCUAAGGGUGGGGUGUAACACCAACCUUUUGGAGUUGGUUACACCAACAAAAAUGUAAAAUGAAAAAAAAAUAUUAGGGGUGUUCGGGCUUCCUGAAGGUAAUACCCGGGUAUUAGGUUAUGGGGCUAUGGUAAGGUUUAAUGUUUUUGGCAUUAGGGUUAAAAUCACUGUCCAAAACCUUUGUAGGAACUCUUUUCCAACCUUUUGGAGUUGGUUACACCAACAAAAAUGUAAAAUGAAAAAAAAAAUAUUUGGGGUGUUCGGGCUUCCUGAAGGUAAUACCCGGGUAUUAGGUUAUGGGGCUAUGGUAAGGUUUAAGCUUAAUGGCAUUAGGUUUAAAAUCACUGUCCAAAACCUUUGUAGGAACUCUUUUCCAACCUUUUGGAGUUAGUUAGACCAAAAAAAAAAAAAUGAAAAAUGAAAAAAAAAUAUUUGGGGUGUUCAGGCUUCCUAAAAGUAAUACCCGGGUAUUAGGUUAUGGGGCUAUGGUAAGGUUUAAAGUUUUUGGCAUUAGGUUUAAAAUCACUGUCCAAAACCUUUGUAGGAACUCUUUCCCAACCUUUUGGAGUUAGUUAGACCAAAAAAAAAUGAAAAAUGAAAAAAAAAUGUUUGGGGUUUUCGGGCUUCCUGAAUGUAAUACCCGGGUAUUAGAUUUUAAGGCUAGGGUUAGGUUUAAGUUUUUUGGCGUUAGGGUUAAAAUCACUGUCCAAAACCUUUGUAGGAACUCUUUUCCAACCUUUUGGAGUUACUUAGACCAAAAAAAUAUGAAAAAAGAAAAAAAAAUAUUUGGGGUGUUCAGGCUUCCUCAAAGUAAUACCCGGGUAUUAGGUUAUGGGGCUAUGGUAAGGUUUAAGGUUUAUGGCAUUAGGGUUAAAAUCACUGUCCAAAACCUUUGUAGGAACUCUUUUCGAACCUUUUGGAGUUAGUUAGACCAAAAAAAAAAGAAAAAUGAAAAAAAAAUAUUUGGGGUGUUCAGGCUUCCUAAAAGUAAUACCCGGGUAUUAGGUUAUGGGGCUAUGGUAAGGUUUAAGGUUUUUGGCAUUAGGGUUAAAAUCACUGUCCAAAACCUUUGUAAGAACUCUUUUCCAACCUUUUGGAGUUGGCUACACCAACAAAAAUGUAAAAUGAAAAAAAAUAUAUAUUGGGUGUUCGGGCUUCCUAAAAGUAAUACCCGGGUAUUAGGUUAUGGGGCUAUGGUAAGGUUUAAGGUUUUUGGCGUUAGGGUUAAAAUCACUGUCCAAAACCUUUGUAGGAACUCUUUUCCAACCUUUUGGAGUUACUUAUACCAAAAAAAUAUGAAAAAAGAAAAAAAUAUAUUUGGGGUGUUCGGGCUUCCUGUGGUAAUACCCGGGUAUUAGUUUAAUAGGCUAGGGUAAGGUUUAAGCUUAAUGGCGUUAGGGUUAAAAUCACUGUCCAAAACCUUUGUAGGAACUCUUUUCCAACCUUUUGGAGUUACUUAGACCAAAAAAAAAAAGAAAAAUGAAAAAAAAAUAUUUGGGGUGUUCAGGCUUCCUAAAAGUAAUACCCGGGUAUUAGGUUAUGGGGCUAUGGUAAGGUUUAAGGUUUUUGGCGUUAGGGUUAAAAUCACUGUCCAAAACCUUUGUAGGAACUUUUUCCCAACCUUUUGGAGUUAGUUAGACCAAAAAAAAAAGGAAAAAUGAAAAAAAAAUGUUUGGGGUUUUUGUGCUUCCUGAAUGUAAUACCCAGGUAUUAGGUUAUGGGGCUAGGGUAAGGUUUAAGUUUUAUGGCGUUAGGGUUAAAAUCACUGUCCAAAACCUUUGUAGGAACUCUUUUCGAACCUUCUGGAGUUAGUUAGACCAAAAAAAAAAAGAAAAAUGAAAAAAAAAUAUUUGGGGUGUUCAGGCUUCCUAAAAGUAAUACCCCGGUAUUAGGUUAUGGGGCUAUGGUAAGGUUUAAGGUUUUUGGCGUUAGGGUUAAAAUCACUGUCCAAAACCUUUGUAGGAACUCUUUUCCAACCUUUUGGAGUUACUUAGACCAAAAAAAUAUUAAAAAAGGAAAAAAAAAUAUUUGGGGUUUUCGGGCUUCCUGUGGUAAUACCCGGGUAUUAGAUUUAAAGGCCAGGGUAAGGUUUAAGCUUAAUGGCGUUAGGGUUAAAAUCACUGUCCAAAACCUUUGUAGGAACUCUUUUCCAACCUUUUGGAGUUACUUAGACCAAAAAAAAACGAAAAAUGAAAAAAAAUAUUUGGGGUGUUCAGGCUUCCUCAAAGUAAUACCCGGGUAUUAGGUUAUGGGGCUAUGGUAAGGUUUAAGGUUUAUGGCAUUAGGGUUAAAAUCACUGUCCAAAACCUUUGUAGGAACUCUUUUCCAACCUUUUGGAGUUAGUUAGACCAAAAAAAAAAGAAAAAUGAAAAAAAAAUAUUUGGGGUGUUCAGGCUUCCUAAAAGUAAUACCCGGGUAUUAGGUUAUGGGGCUAUGGUAAGGUUUAAGGUUUUUGGCAUUAGGGUUAAAAUCACUGUCCAAAACCUUUGUAGGAACUCUUUUCCAACCUUUUGGAGUUGGCUACACCAACAAAAAUGUAAAAUGAAAAAAAAAAUAUAUGGGGUGUUCGGGCUUCCUAAAAGUAAUACCCGGGUAUUAGGUUAUGGGGCUAUGGUAAGGUUUAAGGUUUUUGGCGUUAGGGUUAAAAUCACUGUCCAAAACCUUUGUAGGAACUCUUUCCAACCUUUUGGAGUUACUUAGACCAAAAAAAUAUGAAAAAAGAAAAAAAAUAUUUGGGGUGUUCGGGCUUCCUGUGGUAAUACCCGGGUAUUAGAUUUA
rnacentral:lncRNA from 1 species